UUGUUCGCAAUGGGCGCAAGCCUGACGACGCAACGCCGCGUGGAGGACGAAGAUCUUCGGGUCGUAAACUCCUUUCGAUCGGGAAGAACGCCUUCCGGGUGAACAAUCCGGAAGGGUGACGGUACCGAGAGAAGAAGCACCGGCUAACUCUGUGCCAGCAGCCGCGGUAAGACAGAGGGUGCAAACGUUGCUCGGAAUUACUGGGCGUAAAGCGCGUGUAGGCGGGCUUGUAAGUUGGACGUGAAAGCCCUGGGCUCAACCCAGGAAUUGCAUCCAAAACUACAAGUCUAGAGUGAUGGAGAGGGUAGCAGAAUUCCUGGUGUAGAGGUGAAAUUCGUAGAUAUCAGGAGGAACACCGGUGGCGAAGGCGGCUACCUGGACAUCAACUGACGCUGAGACGCGAAAGCGUGGGGAGCAAAC
rnacentral:rRNA from 1 species